UACGAAGGGGGCUAGCGUUGCUCGGAAUCACUGGGCGUAAAGGGUGCGUAGGCGGGUUUUUAAGUCAGGGGUGAAAUCCUGGAGCUCAACUCCAGAACUGCCUUUGAUACUGGCGAUCUUGAGUCCGGGAGAGGUGAGUGGAACUGCGAGUGUAGAGGUGAAAUUCGUAGAUAUUGGGAGGAACACCAGUGGCGAAGGCGACUCUCUGGCCUGUAACUGACGCUGAGGUGCGAAAGCGUGGGGAGCAAACAGG
rnacentral:rRNA from 1 species